rnacentral:rRNA from 1 species
AACGAACGCUGGCGGCGGGCUUAACACAUGCAAGUCGAGCGAUCCUUUCGGGGAUAGCGGCGGACGGGUGAGUAACGCGUGGGAACGUGCCCUUUUCUACGGAAUAGCCCAGGGAAACUUGGAUUAAUACCGUAUACGCCCUUUUGGGGAAAGAUUUAUCGCUGAGGGAUGGGCUCGCGUCCGAUUAGGUAGUUGGUGAGAUAACAGCCCACCAAGCCGACGAUCGGUAGCCGGACUGAGAGGUUGAACGGCCACAUUGGGACUGAGACACGGCCCAG